rnacentral:rRNA from 1 species
AGCGGCAGCUAUAUCACCCAGCUCAAAACCUACUGAAGCUCAGCAGGUCUGAGCCUGGCCAGUACCUGGAUGGGAGACCUUCUGGGAAAGCUAGGGUUGCUGCUG